rnacentral:rRNA from 1 species
CUACGGGGGGCAGCAGUGAGGAAUAUUGCACAAUGGGGGGAACCCUGAUGCAGCAACGCCGCGUGGAGGAUGACGCAUUUCGGUGUGUAAACUCCUUUUAUAUGUCAAGAAAAUGACGGUAGCAUAUGAAUAAGCACCGGCUAACUCCGUGCCAGCAGCCGCGGUAAUACGGAGGGUGCAAGCGUUACUCGGAAUCACUGGGCGUAAAGGACGCGUAGGCGGGUUUGAAAGUCAGGUGUGAAAUCCUACAGCUUAACUGUAGAACUGCACUUGAAACUUCUAAUCUAGAGUAUGGGAGGGGGAGAUGGAAUUAGUGGUGUAGGGGUAAAAUCCGUAGAUAUCACUAGGAAUACCUAAAGCGAAGGCGAUCUCCUGGAACAUUACUGACGCUAAGGCGCGAAAGCGUGGGGAGCAAACAGGAUUAGAUACCCUUGUAGUC